rnacentral:rRNA from 1 species
GACGAACGCUGGCGGCGUGCUUAACACAUGCAAGUCGAACGGAAAGGCCCUGCUUUUGUGGGGUGCUCGAGUGGCGAACGGGUGAGUAACACGUGAGUAACCUGCCCUUGACUUUGGGAUAACUUCAGGAAACUGGGGCUAAUACCGGAUAGGAGCUCCUGCUGCAUGGUGGGGGUUGGAAAGUUUCGGCGGUUGGGGAUGGACUCGCGGCUUAUCAGCUUGUGGGUGGGGUAGUGGCUUACCAAGGCUUUGACGGGUAGCCGGCCUGAUAGGGUGACCGGCCACAUUGGGAAGGAUAUACGGCCCAGACUCCUACGGGAGGCAGCAGUGGGGAGUAGAGCACAAUGGGAGGAACCCUGAUGCAGCAACGCCGCGUGCGGGAUGGCGGCCUUCGGGUUGUAAACCGCUUUCGCCUGUGACGAAGCGUGAGUGACGGUAAUGGGUAAAGAAGCACCGGCUAACUACGUG